GGAUAAUUGGAAAGUCCCUGUGUGUCAACCUCUGUGCUUCGUGGCAAGGUAGACUAGCAAACAUGCCCAACCUUUACUCACAUUCGAGAAAACACUCCCAACAAGAUUGCUUGCUCCAAAAUCGAAGAGGCACCGCCCUCCGAAUCUCGAGAGCCACUCUCCCAACAUGAUUACUUUCUCAAAAAAUCGAAGAGACACUGCUCCCCGAAUCUCGAGAGCCAGACCCCCAGCAUGAUUGCUUUCUCAAAAAUCGGUGAGGCACCGUUCUCCGAAUCAAUCGAAGAGGCGCUCGCUUUCUCAAAAGCUGGGCUGCUCAGAGACCACGAGGGCCGAUCUCAGAAAUCGAAGAGGCACCUACUUUUCUAGCCUUGUCAGCACCUGUCACACGCACACUCAGCUUUGCAAGAAAUUAUGGGCAUUCUGUCGAAGACUUCUGGUGAAGUAGAAAGCACAUGAAUCUUACUGUUCAAUCACCCACUUCCCACACGCAACAAUAACUCAUGGGUACCACAGAUCACUUUGCCAAAGUUCUCUGCCAAAGUUGAGCACGUGAAGCUUGCAGCUCCCACUACAUCGCUCUGACCAAGAAAGGUAAAAGAAGAGCAAAGAAACAGCACUAACAAAGUUUAGACACAUAAAUUUUGAAGGUCUAGCUACCAUAUUAUUACCCACAAGGGUAAAGGAACAGUACCACUGCUGGAUAAUUGGAAAGUCCCUGUGUGUCAACCUCUAUGCUUCGUGGCAAGGUAGACUAGCAAACAUGCCCAACCUUUACUCACAUUCGAGAAAACAGUCCCAACAAGAUUGCUUGCUCCAAAAUAGAAGAGGCACCGUCCUCCGAAUCUCGAGAGCCAGACUCCCAACAUGACUACUUUCUCAAAAUCGAAGAGAGGGUAAAGGAACAGUACCAUUGCUGGAUAAUUGGAAAGUCCCUAUGUGUCAACCUUUGUGCUUCGUGGCAAGGUAGACUAGCAAACAUGUCCAACCUUUACUCACAUUCGAG
rnacentral:lncRNA from 1 species